CAUGCAUUCUCUUUGCUUGCUCGCCAUUCUAAUGACCCUGCUGGUGGUGGUCUUGACGGAAACCUAGUUGUCUGCAGCCAGACACACCUGCUGGCCCAAGCCUCAGAAUACCAAGAAGUCCCGUCGCGGAGGUGGCACUGGAGGAGGAGGUGGUGGAGUGGGAGGAGGUGGUUCACUGCCGGCCCGUCUGUGCUUCAGACAGACCACCACCAACACCACAGAGUUCCAACCAGACGCCAUGGUGCCCCCCGGGAAGGGCCACAGGGGAGAGGGGACCCCAGGGCCGGGAGGAGAGAGGAGACUUCCAGGUGUACCUGGAGUGAUGGGGGAUGUUGGACUCAUGAGACCUCCUGGACUGGAUGGAAUGUCUGGAGCUACUGGACUG
rnacentral:lncRNA from 1 species